GGGGUUGUGGCUCAGCGGUAGAGUGCUCGCCCUCACAUGUGUGAGACCCUGGGUUGGAUCCUCAGCACCACA
rnacentral:tRNA from 1 species